rnacentral:rRNA from 1 species
CUCCUUUGACGUUAGCGGCGGACGGGUGAGUAACACGUGGGUAACCUACCUAUAAGGCUGGGAUAACUUCGGGAAACCGGAGCUAAUACCGGAUAAUAUUUCGAACCGCAUGGUUCGAUAGUGAAAGGNGGUUUUGCUAUCACUUAUAGAUGGACCCGCGCCGUAUUAACUAGUUGGUAAGGUAACGGCUUACCAAGGUGACGAUACGUAGCCGACCUGAGAGGGUGAUCGGCCACACUGGAACUGAGACACGGUCCAGACUCCUACGGGAGGCAGCAGGU